UACUUGCGAUGUUGCUGGACGCGGGAACAGUAAUACAUGAGGGGAGAAAAAGUCUUUUGUGUUUGGUUUUGAGUCUAUUUUUUGGUCAAACUCGAAUCUCCAAAUGACAUGAAAUCCAUCUAUUUUCUUACUUAUUGCUCGAAAGUGAUUGGUCUUUCAAAGUCUCCCUAGAUUCUUCCAUUUAUGUAUAUUUUUUUGGUACAUUAGCCUA